GACGAUGGGGCCGGAUAAUAAUAAGCUGAUUUGGUAGAAAACACGAACAAUGGGGCUUUUCUGUAAAUAACAGAAAUGUGAAGGAUGAAAACAUAAAAUAUUCAAAGGAUAAGGUUAUCUUCUCCUUCUCUCGUGUACAGGGGAGCCACCAACCACCUGUACGAGCUCAUGGCCGGCGUGUACAGAGGAGCUUGUUCCCGGUGGUUCCUAGCUCAUGGCCGCAUCCAAGGACCCCCGCCGGGGCCGGAGCUCCGCCAACCGCGUCCAUCGACCAGAUCUGGGCGUCCUCAGUAACCCCUACGCUGCCUGCCUCCGUAUCCGCUUCAAGCCCGGCCGCCGAGAUCCAGAGAUCGAGCGGAUCGAUCGAUCCGCCGAGCAUCUGCCACCGCAAUCCACGCGGACCUCGCUGCCGGCGCCUCCCUUUCCACGGGCGGCGACAAGCUCGAAGUGCCUCGCCCCUGCCCACGAGCAGCCGAUGAACUCGCAGCUGCGCCACAUCUGACAAGUCUCCGGUGGCACCUGGGCGCGUGCAUCCACCACGGGAGCGAGCUCCUCCAACAGAACAGAGGACCCUAGGGACGCGCAUGGAGGUUGGCCCCCAUCCACGGCGUCGAGCGGCGCUGGGCGUCCCCGGCAGACGGCUGAGGCGCGGCCACGGCAUCCCGGCGGGCACCGCCGUGGCUUGAAGGCAGAGCUCCCGGCGGCUGCCUCCGCGAAGUCCACGCCAUGGACGCUGGACGGGAGCUCCAGCUCCCCGGCGGCGUUGGAUUCCAUCCAUCCACAGCCGCCCCCACAGCUCGCCGCCGCCAGUUCAUCUGUGCGCCGGGAACCACCGCCGCCCCCUCUUCGUCCCCUGUCUCUCUCCCUUCUCCCUUCUCUCUCUCUCUCAUGCAGCUCCUCUUCUCUCUGCCUCCAGCACAGUGCCGCUGCUGGCCCUCGUGGUUGCGGAGAUGACCGGCGUGGGCAGGGACAUGUCCUGCGCCGUCGCGCGGCUCGCCGGCCGGUGUGCCCACCCGCUGCCCGGCGCGAGGAAGGAGCAGCUGUCCGCGGGGGAGGGGUUGAUUGCUUUUAUUUUUAAGAUGUAAGGGUGUAUAUGUAAAUGUUUUGCCAAGUCAGCUCUUGACAAUUCGGCCCCACUUGUCAGAAAGUGAUUAAAUGAGCUAAAUCUCUAUCAGUGCUUUUUGCAAAAGGUUUACUGAAUGUGCAGUGAAUUUUGUAAAUAAUUAGUGACCUCGUGGUUUUCUGUAAAUGAUGCCUCAAAUAUGAUGGUUUUAUACAAUUAACUCGUAGCACCGUGACUUCCCUUAUCUAAGUUAGAGGAUCCGGCUCCCAUUUUGGCACAUGACAUCUAGGUGCUCAAGUUGCCAAUGAUUAAUUUGUACUAAUGACGGAUAUGCUACUUAAUACUAUAGUACUAAAAGGACAUGAAAGACGUGCCAAUUUAGGGGCGCCACAAGUCAUGUCCACUGACUUUUCACCCGUGCAUGGAAAUUAGCUUACAUACAAGCACAAGUAUUUACUUGGUGAUUAUUUACGGACGCGGAUUUGGUGAACAUGGGUGCGCGCGCAUCCUUUAUGUAUAGUAAAUUUGAAAAAUACUAGAAAAAAUAAAAAAAAUCUAAAUUUAUUUUUGUAAUAUAUAUAGUCAACCGGUAUACUCGCAUAUGAAGUUUCACGAAGAAAUCACAUCCGUGGUAAUCUAGGCAAAAAUGACAAAACCGAAGCUAUAU
rnacentral:rRNA from 1 species